rnacentral:rRNA from 1 species
UUCGCAAUGCCCGAAAGGGUGACGAAGCGACGCCGCGUGGGUGAGGAAGGCCUUCGGGUUGUAAAACCCUGUCAGGAGUUAUGAAAUGUAAGUGCGCUAAUAUCGUGCUUAUUUGACAAAGGCUCCAAAGGAAGCCACGGCUAACUCUGUGCCAGCAGCCGCGGUAAUACAGAGGUGGCGAGCGUUGUUCGGAAUUAUUGGGCGUAAAGAGCACGUAGGUGGGUUUGCAAGUCAGAUGUGAAAGCCUUCUGUUCAACGGAAGAAUUGCAUCUGAAACUGCUAAUCUUGAGUAUAGGAGGGGAGAAUGGAACUUCUGGUGGAGCGGUGAAAUGCGUAGAUAUCAGAAGGAACGCCGGCGGCGAAAGCGAUUCUCUGGCCUAUUACUGACGCUCAGUGUGCGAAAGCUAGGGGAGCAAACGGGAUUAGAUACCCCGGUAGUUCUAGCCGUAAACGAUGGGCACUAAGUAGAGGGGUUUU